GAUAUCUGUAACCUUGUCUUUUGCCUGCCAACAAAAGAACCUAACACUUUAAAACAAUUCACAGAACAAAUAGAUGAAACCAAUCUAAAAAAAAAACAAUUUCUCAAUACACACACACACACACACACACACAAAAAGCUCAUUAUUUGCAAUGUUGUCAGGCAUUAUUUGCAAUGUUGUCUCACAUCGAUCAGCAAACUCAAAUUUGUUCUUCGGUUAAGGGAAAAUAAUGCAGGAUUAGCUUCAAAACAAUUAGAAAACUUUUUCAAUUAAAAAUUGAAAUGAAAUCGACCAAAAUCAAUAAGUAAAACCAAAACCCUAAUCAACAGAGAUUUAACAAAGAGAAGAAGAGUGUGAUUAAGAAUUGCUACUGACAGCUUAUCUCGUAAUUCAAGAGU